rnacentral:rRNA from 1 species
UACGUAGGGUGCAAGCGUUAAUCGGAAUUACUGGGCGUAAAGCGUGCGCAGGCGGUGAUGUAAGACAGGUGUGAAAUCCCCGGGCUUAACCUGGGAACUGCAUUUGUGACUGCAUCGCUGGAGUGCGGCAGAGGGGAAUGGAAUUCCGCGUGUAGCAGUGAAAUGCGUAGAUAUGCGGAGGAACACCGAUGGCGAAGGCAAUCCCCUGGGCCUGCACUGACGCUCAUGCACGAAAGCGUGGGGAGCAAACAGG